CCCUUAGAUGUCCUGGGCCGCACGCGCGUUACACUGAUGCAUUCAACGAGCUUAUAACCUUGGCCGAGAGGCCUGGGCAAUCUUGUUAACGUGCAUCGUGAUAGGGAUAGAUUAUUGAAAUUAUUAAUCUUGAACGAGGAAUUCCUAGUAAACGCAGAUCAUCAAUCUGCAUUGAUUACGUCCCUGCCCUUUGUACACACCGCCCGUCGCUACUACCGAUUGAACGUUUUAGUGAGGCAUUUGGACCGACGCAUCUCAGUUUAACCGCUGGUUUGUGUUGGAAAGACUUCCAAACUUGAGCGUUUAGAGGAAGUAAAAGUCGUAACA
rnacentral:rRNA from 1 species